UACGUAGGGGGCAAGCGUUGUCCGGAAUCAUUGGGCGUAAAGCGCGUGUAGGCGGCUCGAUAAGUCUGCUGUGAAAGUCCAGGGCUCAACCUUGGGAUGCCGGUGGAUACUGUCGAGCUCGAGUCCGGAAGAGGAGUGUGGAAUUCCUGGUGUAGCGGUGAAAUGCGCAGAUAUCUGGAGGAACAUCGGUGGCGAAGGCGACAUCCUGGACCGGUAUUGACGCUGAGGCGCGAAAGCCAGGGGAGCAAACGGG
rnacentral:rRNA from 1 species